ACGGCUCAGUAACACGUGGACAACCUACCCUGAGGUCGGGGAUAAACCCGGGAAACUGGGUAUAAUACCCGAUAGAUCUAGAUCGCUGGAAUGCUUUUAGGUCUAAAGUUCCGACGCCUCAGGAUGGGUCUGCGGCCUAUCAGGGUAGUAGUGGGUGUAAAGUACCUACUAGCCCACGACGGGUACGGGUUGUGAGAGCAAGAGCCCGGAGAUGGAUUCUGAGACACGAAUCCAGGCCCUACGGGGUGCAGCAGGCGCGAAACCUUUACAAUGCUGGCAACAGCGAUAAGGGGACCUCGAGUGCUACGAUACAAUCGUGGCUGUCUAGUUGCCUAAAAAGCAAUUGAUAGCAAGGGCCGGGCAAGACCGGUGCCAGCCGCCGCGGUAACACCGGCGGCUCGAGUGGUAACCGCUAUUAUUGGGUCUAAAGGGUCUGUAGCCGGCUUAGUUAGUCUCUUGAGAAAUCUGGCCGCUCAACGGUCAGGCGUUCAGGGGAUACUGCUAAAGCUCGAGACCGGGAGAGGUGAGAGGUACUUCAGGGGUAGGGGUGAAAUCUUGUAAUCCUUGAAGGACCACCAGUGGCGAAGGCGUCUCACCAGAACGGAUCUGACGGCAAGGGACGAAAGCUAGGGGCACGAACCGGAUUAGAUACCCGGGUAGUCCUAGCCGUAAACGAUACUCGCUAGGUGUCGGCCACGGUGCGACCGUGGUCGGUGCCGUAGGGAAGCCGUGAAGCGAGCCACCUGGGAAGUACGGCCGCAAGGCUGAAACUUAAAGGAAUUGGCGGGGGAGCAC
rnacentral:rRNA from 1 species